ACCUACUUUGCUUAGUGGUUAUAGCGACCGUUUCAUAUGCGGUUUUUCAUCAGUUCGAAUCUGAUAGUAGGUA
rnacentral:tRNA from 1 species